ACAUCCAGAGAACUUAGCAGAGAUGCUUUGGUGCCUUCGGGGAACUCUGAGACAGGUGCUGCAUGGCUGUCGUCAGCUCGUGUUGUGAAAUGUUGGGUUAAGUCCCGCAACGAGCGCAACCCUUAUCCUUUGUUGCCAGCGGUUCGGCCGGGAACUCAAAGGAGACUGCCGGUGAUAAACCGGAGGAAGGUGGGGAUGACGUCAAGUCAUCAUGGCCCUUACGGCCAGGGCUACACACGUGCUACAAUGGCGCAUACAAAGAGAAGCGACCUCGCGAGAGCAAGCGGACCUCAUAAAGUGCGUCGUAGUCCGGAUUGGAGUCUGCAACUCGACUCCAUGAAGUCGGAAUCGCUAGUAAUCGUAGAUCAGAAUGCUACGGUGAAUACGUUCCCGGGCCUUGUACACACCGCCCGUCACACCAUGGGAGUGGGUUGCAAAAGAAGUAGGUAGCUUAACCUUCGGGAGGGCGCUUACCACUUUGUGAUUCAUGACUGGGGUGAAGUCGUAACAAGGUAAGCGUAGCGAG
rnacentral:rRNA from 1 species